rnacentral:lncRNA from 1 species
CUCUGAACCGGGUGGGAUUCCGCACACGGGGCCUGCGGCGGGAGGCGACGUGCCGCGAGCAUCUCUGCUCUUUGCGUCUUCCCGGGUGCUGGCUUCUUCGACCCCCUGAGCGUCCGGCCGCGCCUCCCGGUCCCCUCCCUCCGGUCCCCUCCCUCCGGCCGCAGAAGCCGGAGCCGGUCGCGGGAUGCGAGGGCCAGGGAGGUGGGGGUAGGGGCUGCUCCGCUGGAAGCCCUGGGCUUGGAGGAGGCGAGUUUCUCCACUAAUCUCUUGGAAAGUCUGCAAAGCAGGCGAAGGCGCCCGCCCCGUAACUGUUGACAACAGCUCCCUCCCUCUCUCCCUUUGUUGAAAAAGAAUGAAUAGUUGGUUGUGUUGCUCCCUCUUCGUCGGAGAAGGGAGGGAAGGGGAGGUGAAGGCAGGGAAAGGAGGGACGGUGGGCGCAACGCAAAGUGGGUUCCGGUCUCAGCCGGUCUUUGCUUACCCGCUAAGGCUGCCUCCACCUUGAAAGUUUGAUCAGGUGUACACAGUCGUGGGAAGUUCAGUGGGCUCCAAAGCAGCUGUCGAGGCGGUGUGUUUCGUGGAGGAACCCAGAGGGUCGUGCCUAGGCUUGGGUGGCGGUGAUGGAAAACUGGUUUUGGUUUUAACUCGCUUGAAGUAGGGUGAGGAGGUAAAAGAUUAUUCUCCUAACCUCGUUUAUCUUUCACCUGAAGCUAUUAGCUGAGAUAGAAAGUAGAGCCCUGCGUUCAGCCAUGCAUUUUAAACCUUGACUCUUAUCUACCAAGGCUACACAGAUCUUUCCAAGGAAGACACAUUGGCGGAGGGAAGGUCAGUUUGAGAACGGAUAAUCUCCCUGCUUGUUGCCAAGGAGUGAAACGAGAUCCGGGAGGAAGGGGGAGACGUCGGUUCAAAAAGUCACAAGUGGGAAGGGGCUGCUCCGUUAAUACCGGGAAAGCCACAGGCCAAGCAGUUAUACACUUGAGGAUCAUGGCUGCGGGAAAGUUUGCAAGUCUUCCCAGAAACAUGCCAGUGAAUCACCAGUUCCCCUCGCCUCGUCCAUGGACCUUCUGAGCAGCAAGUCCCUCUCGUUGAGCGUCGUGCAGAUGCCUAUCAAGAUGUGUCUAUACAUGGCACCCUUCCCGGAAGAAGAAAGGCCCUCCUCCCAUCAGGUCCUGUGAUAACUUCAGUCAUGUGGGGACCCUCCCCAUUCCAGAUCCCCACGGCACCACUCACCUCUGAUCCAGGAUGUCAUCCAGGAGCAGCCCCUGCAAGACUGGAAAGGUGAAGCCUUCACCUUCAGGUAGCUUCUUUAAUUUCACAAAUGAAAAUGAUUUGUUUUAAAGGACUUUUUUUAAAAAAAGUGUUUUUAGGAAAAAUAUCAAACAUGCACAAAGUAGAAC